GACGAACGCUGGCGGUGUGCUUAACACAUGCAAGUCGAACGGAAAGGCCCUGCUUUUGUGGGGUGCUCGAGUGGCGAACGGGUGGGUAACACGUGAGUAACCUGCCCUUGACUUUGGGAUAACUUCAGGAAACUGGGGCUAAUACCGGAUAGGAGCUCCUGCUGCAUGGUGGGGGUUGGAAAGUUUCGGCGGUUGGGGAUGGACUCGCGGCUUAUCAGCUUGUUGGUGGGGUAGUGGCUUACCAAGGCUUUGACGGGUAGCCGGCCUGAGAGGGUGACCGGCCACAUUGGGACUGAGAUACGGCCCAGACUCCUACGGGAGGCAGCAGUGGGGAAUAUUGCACAAUGGGCGGAAGCCUGAUGCAGCAACGCCGCGUGCGGGAUGACGGCCUUCGGGUUGUAAACCGCUUUCGCCUGUGACGAAGCGUGAGUGACGGUAAUGGGUAAAGAAGCACCGGCUAACUACGUG
rnacentral:rRNA from 1 species